rnacentral:snRNA from 1 species
GCUCGCUUCGGCAGUGCAUACACUAAAAGUGGAAUGAUCUAGAGAAGAUUAGCAUGGUCCCUGCAUGAGGAUGACACGCAAAUUUGUGAAGCUUUGAAAUAUAAU